CCGCGCUGCCUGUGGGCUCCUUGUCUACCGAAAGGAUAAUGAUGAUUGGUGCUCUUGUGCCUGAGUUCCAGAACUGCCUGGUCCUAUGAACUUCAAAGCAUUUCCCUUUGCCCAAGCCAUGAGGACUACGUAGCUGAGUUGCAAAGGCUUCCCUCUCAAAAUGAAUCAUCUGAAACAAAUUUGUCAAAAAGGAAUGUCUGCCAUCGCCACGUUCUUUAAACCUGUGUACAGUCAAGAUUAACAUGCCAGUUUUGUCGUAAACUUCUGGCGGUUCUAUUCAUUCCCUAAGUAAUUUGGUCUUUUUCCUAAAUUUAAAGUAACUUCUAUCAACAGUGGCUACUUCGUAUCUCUAGCUAUUUUACCACCUUUUCAACUACACAUGGUUUUUAUGCUUUAGAAAUUCUUGUGUGACUCUUCUGCAUCUUUAUAUUGCAAUCAUUAUGCGGCAAACAAAACGAGUCUUUUGUCUUUUCUAAAACUUGAGGCCAUGGGGAGAAGCAUGAAAAACUUCAGUAAAGAUUUAGGGACAAG
rnacentral:lncRNA from 1 species